CUGGGUUGCUAAUACCCAGUAAGCAUUGGAAUGUCACAGUGACAUCACAUAAUAUCACUGCGGAGAUGUGUAAUAUCACUUUGUGAUGUCUCUGAGAUUAACUGGUGAUAUAAAAUGUACCCAUCAAAAUGGUCUCACAGACAUCACUCAGAAGGGCCCAGUGACAUUUUUUAAUGUCACAGAAUGUCACAGAUAUGUCACCAGGAAAUGUCUCUGCAAUAUUGAUGUAAAUAUUUCUAAAAUAUUCCCAUCGAAUGUCGUUGAAAUACCAAUUAUUGGAGUUCAUUUGAAUUGUGAAAAUAAUAAGAUGUAUUUUCUGCAAAAAUAUUCUCUUCUCUCAACUCCUGAAGUUUGGAGUUGAGAUUUGAGGCUGUUGACUCCGCCACAUUCGGCAAAGUCUCCAGCGCCCAUCAUUAAUGAGGGUAAAGUCGCAUGAGGCAGUAUCUUUCUUAUAUACUAAUUGUCAACAUACUUUAUCUGUGAGAAGUAAAAAUGGUAUAGUUUGAGGCAGAAAUGUCACUGUAAUAUCUUUUAGUGAUAUCAUCAAAGUUAUAUUUUUGAGACAUUGCAGCCAAAUAUUUCUUUUUCCAUUCCAAAGCAAUGUCGCAAAAAUGUCACAGAAAUAUUACUUUGUAAUGUCCUAUACACAUCACAAAAUUACAUCACUGUGAUAUUAAUGUCACAGCAUGCUUACUGGGAACUCGUACCGAAUCUUGAAGCGAAAGCCACCCAAAGUAUAUUUUUUCGAAAUCAAUUUCAUUGUAAGGUACUUGAAUAAUAGUUGGCUGUUGAAAUUACAAAACACAACUAUUUGUGAAAUUUAUCAGUUGAGUUUAUCGACAGAUGAAAAAAAAAUACAUUAUUUGAGAUUUUGGGAAAAUACAUUUAUAUAUGUAGUACAUCAACGUUAACUUGGUUCGCAAUUUACGAGAAUAACAAGCUCAAGAUGAAUAUUUUCGAAUUGACAGGAUUCUGUGUAUGCGUUUGCUGUCUUGGAGUGGUACUAGUGAUAGCGAUAAUAGUUAUAAUUAUUGUAAACUUGGCAAAAUAGGUUUCUAUGAAGCCGACGAAUGAACCUCCAAAAGUAUAUUUUCGGACAACAGCUGAUGAAAGUAACCACGAUAUUUUUUCGUAAUCAAUUCCAUUGUAAGGUACUUGAAUAAUAGUCGGCUGUUGAGAAUGUAUAGAAAUAUUACCAAUUACAAAUACAACUAUUUGUCAAAUUUA